GUGGCUGUGAGGAGUUGGGAAGUCUGAAGGAAGGGGCCUUUAGACUCUGCCUCCUUGAAGGGCCUUAUCUGCUUAAGGCCAAAAGGUCAGUCUCUCCACUGACAACAAAGGGUUAACAUUUCACAGCAGGCUGCGUCUGCACCCUCAAACAUAGAGCUUUACACCAUCUGCUCAGGCAGAUUGGUUCAAUAAAAUCAUUUACAGGAACAAGAAUCAAAGUGACAAAUUCUUAAACAGCAGAUUCAACUGCAGACUUUAAAAUCACAAAUGCGGCGAUUUGUGAUCACAAAUUUUGUCUGAAUUCAUUCAAACAACAACCUCCCACUGUUACAGUGGUUUCCUGUGACAGGUAGUUAAUCUGUCAGGGGAAAGGAGGAAAUCUGAAUCCCAUAUAGUUACUAGAACUUCGUAGCAGACUAUAGAGACAAGAAUCAAAGUGACAAAUCCCUCAACAGCAGAUUCAACUGCAGACUUUAAAAUCACAAAUGCGGCGAUUUGUGAACACAAAUUUUGUCUGAAUUCAAUCAAACAACAACCUCCCACUGUUACAGUGGUUUCCUGUGACAGGUAGCUAAUCUGUCAGGGGAAAGGAGGAAAUCUGAAUCCCAUAUAGUUACUAGAACCUCGUAGCAGACUACAGAGACUUCAGGGGCUUGAAACCACAGCUCGGAGCAUCGCGAACACUGGGUUCAGCCAAAGGCCUUAAAUACAAGCGUACGGCGACGCCACAAUCGUGCACAUAAAUAUUGGACAGUCUAGACAGAGCAGAGGAGUCAGUCUCACUGCUACUCAGAACAACAUUUCACGCUGUCCAGCUCAAACACAGACUACAGGCAUGUAGUACAAGAGUGUGUGAAACACAGAGCAUAAAGGUUUUAUGCAUAGAUCAUGAAAACAUCAGAACUUAGUCAAGCAACUUCAGCAAGCAUAGCAUUGAUUGUGAUUAAGUCUAAAAUAGCCUGGAAAUAAGUUUCUCGCAUCAAUUUGGAAGGCUAAGUUUUAGGUUGUCUGUUAGUAUCCAGAAGUUUUGUUUGAAACGCCUCACGCAGGGGCACCAAAAUAUAUGUAGUGAUUUGAAAUGAGCCUCAUACGGUCGCACCAAAAUAUAUGUAGCGAUUUGAAAUGAGCCUCACAAGGCCGCACCAAAAUAAUACUUGGCGAUUGGAAUUUAUAAUAAAUGUCUGAAGAUUAAUAAUCUCAAAUUAUGACAUUUAUGCACUCGUUGAAAGGGGCACCACCCACCCUUAAUGGUGGGAAAAUAAAGAAAACAAAAGUUUAAUUCAGAAAUCAAACAUCAAGUCAGUUUUAAUUAAUCAGUCUUAAUUAAUCAGUCUUAAUUAAUCAGUCUCAUAUCUUAAGUUGAAAUUCUAAUUUCAGGGACUCCACUUCUGGAAGAACACUAACAGACAGGAACUUAGAAAAAUAAUGAUCUGUUUAUUACAGGAUAAAUGAUGGUACAACACACAUGCAAUAAAUGAUGAUAAGAUAAUGAAGAUAAAUAAUAAUAGGUGAAUAAAUCAAGAUUCUGAGUCAGGCUAGGAGCACUAAAGUUAAUGAUAGUGAGUGAAUAUGCGCUAACAUAUUAACCUACACUAACUUUAGUGUCGAGAUAAACUCGGAUGUGGAUUUGGAGGAAUCUAAGAUUACCAGAAUAAGAGGAUAUCUGAGUUGAACGCAGGAGACAGCACCAGCCCUCUUUAGAGCUCUGGAGGUUUGCAUACUUAAGUGAGACUGGUCCUUGGAGAAGAUGGAGCAGGUUCCGAAGGUCCGGGCUACUGGCGGUUCGAGCGGUUCAGCUCAGAAGACGACUGAAGUCAGCCGAAGGAUGAGCCCGGAGUUGCAGCACUCAGGCCCGAAGCAAAAACCAGCGCCUGUGGAUCCUGUGGAUGCUCGUUUGGGUACUUCUUUAGUCUCACUCAAAAACUCUGGCACAGAGGAUGACCUGGGCCUGUUGGAUUGCGUUCGGAGGUGACUUUGAAAUCACGCAGAAAACUCAGAAAAACGAGGCUCGAAGAGCAGAGAAAACUUUCAAAAAUGGCUUCGCGAAAUUAAAGAAAAUCAAUCAAAGGCUUAAUCUUGAAUUGCUAUGUGCACAAAAAGUUGAAGUUUCAAAACUUGAACUAAGACGAUGUUAAAGAAAAAUCAACGUGAAUCAACACGUGGCGUAAAACUUAGAAGACUAAGAAAAAGUUCUAAGAGAGAACAAAGAAAAGGAGGACCACAGAAGGGUGUGGACAGAAGAGAAGGGCCCAAGAGUAAGGGGCCUAAGAGCCGGGGACAAGAGAGUCAGCAGAAGAGCAGAAGCAUAAGAGAGAUAAAAGCAUAAGAGAGAGUAAGAGAGUGAGCAACCCCACUCCACUGGUUUUAUCUUCUCACACUGGGAGUGUCUGAGGAGAAAGAGGAGGGGUCAUCGGGUCUCUGAUUAUUUGAUCUAACUUAUUCUUUUGGCUGGUAAAAGAGUCAGAUCUGAUACUCACUCACUAUGAUUAAUAUCAUUGAAUGCUUGGUUUCAUGAUAAAUAAUUUGAUACUAAACACAUAUGAAUGAAGUGUAGGAUCACAUCAAACAUUCUCAUUAUGUUUUAAGUAUCACAUUGAACAUGCUAAAUUACUCUGAAAUGAAACAGAUAGUAACACAUAGAAACUGUGAACAACAAAAGAGUAAACACAUGUGAAUGAACGUCAUCAUGAUUAAUAAUGGAUUCUAAAUACUCACAUUCAGAUUAUUCAGUGACAUUAUAACCACCUAAUGGUUAAGAUACUAAAUAAACGAUUAAAAUAUAGAACAAACAUUUCUAAACCAUUUCUGUUAAUUAGAGCUAAGUUAUGAGUCACAAUCAAUAAAUUUAACUCUUAAAAGUUCAUGAAACAGUCUGAAAAGCUGUUGGUCUAAAGAACUAAAGAAUAAGGAUUUAUUCUGUCAGAUAAGAUAACUUGGCUUCUGAAGCACAUAGAAAAACGGGAAACAUCUCAUUUUAACACAAAUUUCAUGAUUAGACAGAUUAGUACAUUGCUGAAUGUAUAAGAUGUCAGGAUCAGUCAUUUGUAUUCUUUCACCAAAGGAAUGUAGUCUUUAUCAGUGUAUGGUCGAGCAGGGUUUUACGACCGAGGUCUGGAGGUCAGUGUCCCCCCUUUUCCUAGGGUCCGUAUGUUCACACACUUUAAGACGCUAAAUCUCAAAUGGGAGAUCUGGGUUGAGGUUAAUGUUUAUUUAGAUGGUCAGCAAAUGGAGUCAGUUUGAAAGGUAAUAAAAACUCUGUCUCUGUUCUCCGAAUUGACCAAUCGUGAAGAGUCGGAGGUUUAGUCAACCUCCGGUUGGGUCACUUAUUUAACCUGAAAGGGCAAACACGUCUGGAAAGAUUUAUAUCCUGUUUCCUGGGACCAGAUAAGGAAACUUUCCUGUAAGGAAUGUGUGGGUUUCACAUCCAGGGUUGUCUUGAUUGCUACAGUCCCCCCUUCGUCACGGUGGUCCUGUCCAUGGAGCAUCGGGACGACGAGUAGACAACCAUGAAGCAGCAGCAGGUGUAUGCAAAUAGGACUGAUGCGUCUCAGCAUCACUAUGUGAAUCACUAGUACUGCUUUGAGAUAAAAUUAAGCAUGUAUUAAGCUAUCAAAUAAAAUCGUCUAGUUGUUAGACUUUCUCAGUUAACUAUUGGUAGACUAAUGUGAAAGAAAAUCUCCUAAUUUUUAGUAUUAAUGAGAUUUAGAAAAGCACUCUUUAGUCUGAAUGCUAACCGGAUCUAAAGCUAUAGCUGUUUUUCAUGCUUGCUGGAGAAGUCUGAAAGUUCAAUUUCAGUUUCAAAAAUGGUUAAGACUUAGGUGGAAAAGAAAUGUCUGCUAUAGACAUAUUAACCAUCUGUGUAUGAGCAUAGUCAACCUGAAUCACAAACAUCAAAAGUUUACUGCACAGAGUUUCUCUUAAACUUUGUCUGUUAAACUUGGGGAUGAUGCUCUUAUCGGUUUGACUAAUUAUCUGCUGUUGAGUCUGAAAUUUGUCAAUCUGAGUCUUAAUGACAGAAAUUUCAGCUUUUAAUCUGUUCAUGGGAUAUUUGACAGCUGACAAGCUGACCAUAUUGACAGAGGAGAGACAAAUGCUAACAAAGAAAGCAGCAACUGGGAUUGCAGUCAUCAAUGUAUCACCACAGCAUUUGGAUAUCUUAUUGGAGUCAUUCAGCUUUGGCUGGGUGACUUCUGCUUUCGCAGGACUCACACCUUCAUGACUCCGCAGUGUUAAUCUCAGUGGUUAGCUGAGUUGUCAUGUUUAUUCACCUUCGAAGUGGAUGAAACCGAUUGAGGUGGAUAAUAAGAUCGUCGUUUCUGAGAGUGUGAUUUACUCUGAUUCUGCCAGUCAUUCACCCCCCUUUGGCGGUGUUGAUGGUUUUUCCUUUGUCUGGGAUAAAACCCACCGUGACGGGAGUCUGAAUAACAACAGUUGGUCUCAAAGUUUACCUGGCGUUGGUCUGUGUCAGAACUGGGCCUUGGUGUGUAACUUUGACCUUUGUGAGUUUGUUGAGGUCGAAAAGGUUUUGGGGGCCUGGUUAACCACUCAUUUGGAGGCUUAUCGGAGCCUGAAAAUACACAGUCUGAAGCUUCAUUCAGCUCCAUGGGCAGUGAUUUUGUCCCCAUAGCCAAGAGAGUAACGGGCUCUGCUUUCUUAGCCAAAGUUUGUCGUUGUUUGGCAAAACCUUUUACAGCAAAUUCACGAAGCUGUCGGCUAGUCAAAGUGUUUGGACAAGCUAAGACGCCAAGGUGAUGACUGGUGGUAGGGUGGAGGUUCUGGACGAACAGCGUUUUGAAGUUCAAGUCCUCCUCCAUUUCUGGUUCAUUUCGGAAACCAAAGUAAGCUUCGCGUAAGCGGUUGUAAUAUUGUUGGGGAGAUUCUGAUCUCCCUUGUUUAAUAGACAGAGCAGCAGAGAGGCCUGUCUGGGUCAAAUAGUCAGAAAACUCUUCAAUUAAUGCUUGGCAGAGCAAGUCAUAAUUAUUUCUGACAUGAAAAGGCUGUCUUUCAAGGAAACUGCUAACCUCUCGACUUGACGUCGCCUUAAUAAGGUAGAUUUUGUCAUCAAUGGUUGCACCUAGAAAUUUCCUCAGGUAAAAGUCAAUGUCUUUCAAGUAGGUGCAGGUGUCAAUAGCAGCUUGGUGCUCAGGUUCAAAGCGUGCUAUGUUGCGAGCAAUUUUGUCAAGAUCCCUGUCUGAGGGAGAUGGUAAGAAGCCAUCAUGAGGAGGAGAGUAGGACUCUUGGUUUAAGGAUGACCUCUCAGGGUCAAGCAGGGUCCUGUCAUGAUGCUGAGAGAGAUACUUAAGAGUUGGUUUGGAAGGAAGUGAUGGCGCUCUCUCAGGAGGCUGAUCACCUGUCAUUUCUUCAAGAAACGUUUGCUCCAUGCGUUCUCUUUGGGCUCGACCUGACUGGAGGGAGCAUUGUAACUCUCUUUGGGCAUCUUCAAGUUCUUUGUCUGUCUUUUCUUGCCGUUCUUGACAAAGAAUUAACUGUCUUUGAGCUAUCUGGAGCUGGUGCUGUAAGGUAGAAGUUUGCUUCUCCUUAACUUCAAGAGCUUCAGCACGCACUUUGACCAGUGCUUUCAAAGUUUUUACAUCUUCUGUUGCUUGCUCUAGUAGGGAUUCUGACUGUAUCAGAUCCUCUGUGGUCUUAGCAAGCUGCUUAUUCGUGUCAUCAAGUUCUUUCUCCUUUUUGUAAAGGGUUUCAUUAAGUCUUUCAAUCUUGUCUUUAAGAUCAAGAUUUUCUUCAUGACUUAUCAGUGAGGGAAGCUUUGACGCUUCACAUCUGACACUGUGUUUUCCUAAAACACUUAGAGACUUCUUAGUCUCUUCUAGCGUCUUUUUCAGAGCGCUGUUUUCGUCUUUUUGCGCCUUUAUCUUUGCUAAAGCGCAUUCCAGCAAGUAGUCUUUAUACUCAAGCUGAGAAGACAUCAUGACAGACAUGCAUCUAGUGAGCUCUUUGUCUCGAAGUGUCGUGGUUAAGGCUGUUUCCAGUAAGUCAGCCAUUUCAUCCUCCGGAUUGGAGGGUUUGGCCUUUUGAAUCUUAGUCAUGUACUGAGGUAUCAGCUGACUAGUCAAGUUUGCCAACACUGUGGGUAUGUCCCUCAGGGGGUCUCCCUGGCUGGACUCUUUUGUGUUAGGCAUGUUUGGUUUUGGUAAAGAGGUGCAGCUGGUUGGUUGAUGAGUUUGAGUUGACUUAAAAUAAAAGGAAGAAGCAAAAUAUCAAAUUAAGUGGGUUAAUCGACUUAAUUUAUCAGUGCUUGAUAAAGAGGAAGAGCCUAUCUGAGUAGAUAUCUAAUGGAGAGAAAAAUAACAUAAAGUUAAAUUCAUUUCAAUGAAAAUUGAAAACAAAAGGUGAAAUAAUGUUAAAUUAAAUUUAACAUCAGAUACAGAACCAUUGAAUAAAGGGUUCAGUUUGUCUCCGUGUUGCAGAGAUCAGCAAAGCUUAAAUAAACUGCCUGGUGCAGUUGGAUGAAUUGGCAAAAUCGAUGAAAUUGUCAAUUUAAGGAAUUAACUCUGAAGUUAAUUCACAAAUUGCAAUAAAUCCAAAGGUUCGAAUACCAAAUCUAUCUGGAAUGUUAAAAGAAAUUUGAAAUAUUAAUUAAUUUGUUCGUUAAUUAAUUAAUCUUAUGAGUCGGGUUAAUACAUUCAUGUAUUAUAGGGAACAGUAAAACUGCUCACUGGUGUGAUAAGUAACAACAGAUCAGGUGAUUGAUUCAAGGAGUUACUUCAUCAAUACAUCAAAAUCAAUGAUCAGUGAUUUAGAAUAAGCACAUCAAACUUCAUCAACCAAGUCAAUCACUUGAGUUAUGUCUGUAGAGUGUUACACACUGACUACAGGGAGGCAGUACAGCUGGCUGAUACUGCAGGCAGAUAAUAGCAGUGUUAGCUCAAUACCAAAAACAACCAUGUGGGGCAGUAUGGAGUUGGGGUAACUGCACAAGCUCAACACAAGUGGAGAAGAAGAAGAGAAGAGGAAACAGUCAUCCAACUAGCCUCUUGUGGCUGUGAGGAGUUGGGAAGUCUGAAGGAAGGGGCCUUUAGACUCUGCCUCCUUGAAGGGCCUUAUCUGCUUAAGGCCAAAAGGUCAGUCUCUCCACUGACAACAAAGGGUUAACAUUUCACAGCAGGCUGCGUCUGCACCCUCAAACAUAGAGCUUUACACCAUCUGCUCAGGCAGAUUGGUUCAAUAAAAUCAUUUACAGGAACAAGAAUCAAAGUGACAAAUUCUUAAACAGCAGAUUCAACUGCAGACUUUAAAAUCACAAAUGCGGCGAUUUGUGAUCACAAAUUUUGUCUGAAUUCAUUCAAACAACAACCUCCCACUGUUACAGUGGUUUCCUGUGACAGGUAGUUAAUCUGUCAGGGGAAAGGAGGAAAUCUGAAUCCCAUAUAGUUACUAGAACUUCGUAGCAGACUAUAGAGACAAGAAUCAAAGUGACAAAUCCCUCAACAGCAGAUUCAACUGCAGACUUUAAAAUCACAAAUGCGGCGAUUUGUGAACACAAAUUUUGUCUGAAUUCAAUCAAACAACAACCUCCCACUGUUACAGUGGUUUCCUGUGACAGGUAGCUAAUCUGUCAGGGGAAAGGAGGAAAUCUGAAUCCCAUAUAGUUACUAGAACCUCGUAGCAGACUACAGAGACUUCAGGGGCUUGAAACCACAGCUCGGAGCAUCGCGAACACUGGGUUCAGCCAAAGGCCUUAAAUACAAGCGUACGGCGACGCCACAAUCGUGCACAUAAAUAUUGGACAGUCUAGACAGAGCAGAGGAGUCAGUCUCACUGCUACUCAGAACAACAUUUCACGCUGUCCAGCUCAAACACAGACUACAGGCAUGUAGUACAAGAGUGUGUGAAACACAGAGCAUAAAGGUUUUAUGCAUAGAUCAUGAAAACAUCAGAACUUAGUCAAGCAACUUCAGCAAGCAUAGCAUUGAUUGUGAUUAAGUCUAAAAUAGCCUGGAAAUAAGUUUCUCGCAUCAAUUUGGAAGGCUAAGUUUUAGGUUGUCUGUUAGUAUCCAGAAGUUUUGUUUGAAACGCCUCACGCAGGGGCACCAAAAUAUAUGUAGUGAUUUGAAAUGAGCCUCAUACGGUCGCACCAAAAUAUAUGUAGCGAUUUGAAAUGAGCCUCACAAGGCCGCACCAAAAUAAUACUUGGCGAUUGGAAUUUAUAAUAAAUGUCUGAAGAUUAAUAAUCUCAAAUUAUGACAUUUAUGCACUCGUUGAAAGGGGCACCACCCACCCUUAAUGGUGGGAAAAUAAAGAAAACAAAAGUUUAAUUCAGAAAUCAAACAUCAAGUCAGUUUUAAUUAAUCAGUCUUAAUUAAUCAGUCUUAAUUAAUCAGUCUCAUAUCUUAAGUUGAAAUUCUAAUUUCAGGGACUCCACUUCUGGAAGAACACUAACAGACAGGAACUUAGAAAAAUAAUGAUCUGUUUAUUACAGGAUAAAUGAUGGUACAACACACAUGCAAUAAAUGAUGAUAAGAUAAUGAAGAUAAAUAAUAAUAGGUGAAUAAAUCAAGAUUCUGAGUCAGGCUAGGAGCACUAAAGUUAAUGAUAAUGAGUGAAUAUGCGCUAACAUAUUAACCUACACUAACUUUAGUGUCGAGAUAAACUCGGAUGUGGAUUUGGAGGAAUCUAAGAUUACCAGAAUAAGAGGAUAUCUGAGUUGAACGCAGGAGACAGCACCAGCCCUCUUUAGAGCUCUGGAGGUUUGCAUACUUAAGUGAGACUGGUCCUUGGAGAAGAUGGAGCAGGUUCCGAAGGUCCGGGCUACUGGCGGUUCGAGCGGUUCAGCUCAGAAGACGACUGAAGUCAGCCGAAGGAUGAGCCCGGAGUUGCAGCACUCAGGCCCGAAGCAAAAACCAGCGCCUGUGGAUCCUGUGGAUGCUCGUUUGGGUACUUCUUUAGUCUCACUCAAAAACUCUGGCACAGAGGAUGACCUGGGCCUGUUGGAUUGCGUUCGGAGGUGACUUUGAAAUCACGCAGAAAACUCAGAAAAACGAGGCUCGAAGAGCAGAGAAAACUUUCAAAAAUGGCUUCGCGAAAUUAAAGAAAAUCAAUCAAAGGCUUAAUCUUGAAUUGCUAUGUGCACAAAAAGUUGAAGUUUCAAAACUUGAACUAAGACGAUGUUAAAGAAAAAUCAACGUGAAUCAACACGUGGCGUAAAACUUAGAAGACUAAGAAAAAGUUCUAAGAGAGAACAAAGAAAAGGAGGACCACAGAAGGGUGUGGACAGAAGAGAAGGGCCCAAGAGUAAGGGGCCUAAGAGCCGGGGACAAGAGAGUCAGCAGAAGAGCAGAAGCAUAAGAGAGAUAAAAGCAUAAGAGAGAGUAAGAGAGUGAGCAACCCCACUCCACUGGUUUUAUCUUCUCACACUGGGAGUGUCUGAGGAGAAAGAGGAGGGGUCAUCGGGUCUCUGAUUAUUUGAUCUAACUUAUUCUUUUGGCUGGUAAAAGAGUCAGAUCUGAUACUCACUCACUAUGAUUAAUAUCAUUGAAUGCUUGGUUUCAUGAUAAAUAAUUUGAUACUAAACACAUAUGAAUGAAGUGUAGGAUCACAUCAAACAUUCUCAUUAUGUUUUAAGUAUCACAUUGAACAUGCUAAAUUACUCUGAAAUGAAACAGAUAGUAACACAUAGAAACUGUGAACAACAAAAGAGUAAACACAUGUGAAUGAACGUCAUCAUGAUUAAUAAUGGAUUCUAAAUACUCACAUUCAGAUUAUUCAGUGACAUUAUAACCACCUAAUGGUUAAGAUACUAAAUAAACGAUUAAAAUAUAGAACAAACAUUUCUAAACCAUUUCUGUUAAUUAGAGCUAAGUUAUGAGUCACAAUCAAUAAAUUUAACUCUUAAAAGUUCAUGAAACAGUCUGAAAAGCUGUUGGUCUAAAGAACUAAAGAAUAAGGAUUUAUUCUGUCAGAUAAGAUAACUUGGCUUCUGAAGCACAUAGAAAAACGGGAAACAUCUCAUUUUAACACAAAUUUCAUGAUUAGACAGAUUAGUACAUUGCUGAAUGUAUAAGAUGUCAGGAUCAGUCAUUUGUAUUCUUUCACCAAAGGAAUGUAGUCUUUAUCAGUGUAUGGUCGAGCAGGGUUUUACGACCGAGGUCUGGAGGUCAGUGUCCCCCCCUUUUCCUAGGGUCCGUAUGUUCACACACUUUAAGACGCUAAAUCUCAAAUGGGAGAUCUGGGUUGAGGUUAAUGUUUAUUUAGAUGGUCAGCAAAUGGAGUCAGUUUGAAAGGUAAUAAAAACUCUGUCUCUGUUCUCCGAAUUGACCAAUCGUGAAGAGUCGGAGGUUUAGUCAACCUCCGGUUGGGUCACUUAUUUAACCUGAAAGGGCAAACACGUCUGGAAAGAUUUAUAUCCUGUUUCCUGGGACCAGAUAAGGAAACUUUCCUGUAAGGAAUGUGUGGGUUUCACAUCCAGGGUUGUCUUGAUUGCUACACGUUAAACCUUACCAUAGCCCCAUAACCUAAUACCCGGGUAUUACUUUUAGGAAGCCUGAACACUCCAAAUGUUUUUUUUUUCAUUUUUCAUUUUUUUUGGUCUAACUAACUCCAAAAGGUUGGAAAA
rnacentral:lncRNA from 1 species